UUACCAUUUUGCCCCUAACAUUUUGCACUUUUUGCAAUUUAGUCCUUUUUGCACAAAAUACACAAAAUUUGCCCAUAACACACAAGGGCCGAAUAUUCAUGGUUCUCAUACAAGUCCACACAUUGCAUUUAUUUCACAUUUUAGUCCCUCAAAAAUUUAUUUUCACAAUUUAGCCCUAAAUACUCAAAUUCAUCAAAAAUAUCAAUACAAAACAUGUU
rnacentral:lncRNA from 1 species